CAACACUCGACUUCCCGGGCCAGCCCGUGGAAGUCGGCAUUGGGGAUCGGCAGCACACCGCCGGCCCUGAAAUGGAGUGGCGGCCCGUCCGCGGCGACCUCUGCGUAGUAAUCCAACUCGCACCGGAACCCCGACGUGGCCACGCCGUAAAACACCCAACUUCUGAA
rnacentral:misc_RNA from 1 species